AGGUGGCAUGCAACUUGGAGGUGGGAUCAAUUCGGACAAUGCCAUGACUUAUAUCAACGAAGCACAUUUUCAAUAAUGGACAAAUGAACCUUGAACGGCUUAAACACCUUGUUGGUAUAAUUGGAAAGCAAAGGCUUGUCUUGGAUCUUAGUUGUAGAAAGAAGAAUGGUAAAUACGCCAUUGUUACUGACAGAUGGCAGAAAUUCGGUGAUGUCAUUCUAGAAGAGCAAACGUUGGAAUUUCUUGCAACCUAUGCAGAUGAGUUUUUG